GUAACCAGGUAUGGGGUGGGUUUGGUCUCUAGACUCCAGCAUUUCACUAGGAGCCAACUUGGAGUAAUGACAAAGAUCAUUUCAGAGAAGGUGCUUUGCUACUUAUAAGUCUAAAAGUCGUUGGGAGGAAUUGAAUUCCACAUGCAUCAUCAAGACUGCAGCAAAAUGCUUAGUGUUGUAAUAACUGUGAGAGAACCAUUCUUCAUCCAUCCUUGGGCUGCUAGAAAGAGAGACCCUGAGGCCAGAAGGUAAUUAGCUGGCUUGUUUUUGAGCUGAGAUGCUUGAUAAGGUAUGUACCAAAUCCUCCAAAAUGAACUGCAAACUCAUGUGCAUAUUAUUAACAGCAAAUUUGUUGCCAUAGUGGUUUUCAGCUUACUUUACUAGAGUCACUAUCUGAAGAUAAAAUAAAAAGACACUCUUUCUUUUUAAAGCCACUAGCAGCAGUGGGGGAAAUGGUGGGUUUGAUGCUGGUAAUUAGAGCAUUUUACAGGUUUCCCCACUCCUUUUUCCUUUGAGAGACCCUGGUCGACUUGUCCAUGUGGAUGUACCUGCCUAUGCCCAUUGCAUUGUCCUAUGGUCUGUACAAGAGAAAGCAGCCUCAACCCAUAAUUGCCUAUAACUUGCUGUUCACACCGCUGGGUACAUGAGACUUUGCCUGGGAUGGAAUGCUGAGCAUCUCUCUUAAGGGACCACUGGUAAGCAAAGAGGGCAAGCAGUUUGCUCAGUAGCAUUUGAGGGAGCGGGGAGGAGAAAGACAUUCCAGUCCACUCCCCUUCCCCCCGUCAGAGGAAAAUACAGUUUGUGAAUCCUAAAACCUUUUUUCAAAAUCUGAGAGUAAAAAGCAAACUUAAGUCUUCAAAGUGAUUGUGAGUCAGUCCCCUUCAAAGCAUUUCCAUGGAUUUCUUGAAGUUUCUUUCCAGUGUGUAUUCCAAACGUUUUUGUGGGGAUGAUAAAUUCUUCCUGUCUCACAUUUAAUUUUGGUCCAUCAAACUGGCUCUCAUUUUGGUUUUUCUUCUGGCAUUAAAGGCUAAUUUGCCUCCUCUAAUUGAAUGCAGAAACUACAUCUAACAUGACAGCCACUACCCACUCAAUAAUGGGAUAUUGUCUUUCCCGACUUGCACUCGCCUUAAUUAAAAGCAGAGAGCUGACCUCGGCACUGAACUCUGCCCUAUUCCUUGCUAAUGCUUUUACACAUCACUUCACGCUAAAGCUCGGCAGAGCACAUGCAAGGUCCUGGCAGGCCAGCGCUGUUUUUUUGUUUGGCAUUGCUGUAAGAGCCAGGCUCGCUCAGUCCGCAGGAGGUGGCUGGUGGCCGUGGCAGCACUGCCGCUGCCCCAGCUGCUCCUGGCCGGCGGGACAUGGAGAGGCAGCAAGUGCCCUGGGGGGCUCCAUGGCAUGGGUGGGUAUCAAAAAACAUUGUCAAUGGGUGGCUGGAGGUGAGCUCUCUGCAGAGCCGAUGCAAGCAUUGGGAUGGGCUAUGAAGGGAAGUGCUGGUGAAUAGCCCUUGCUUCUUCCGAAAGAAAUGCACUUUCCUUGUGCAAGUGAUGGUGUGGAAAAGAAACACACAGACAUCUGUCAGUAAAUAGUGUGGGUAUUUUUGUGAUUGUUUGACAGAAAAGUGAUGGAUCAGUGCAAUGGGACAUAUCCCUGAGAAGGACACCUCAUCUCUAAACUAAACCAGUAUUUUUCAACAGACUGUGGUUUUUACCAUAAUAUUCAGCAUUUUACUUGGUCUCCAGCUCCUGGAGAGGGAAGAAUUGAAGAGCUCAGCUUUCAGCUAAAAGCCUUCACCCUCCUGCUCCUGGACAGAAAGUAACAUUGGGAACUGCCUUUACCUGAUAGGAUAAAAAGUGGAAGGCAAAUGUGGCAUGCAUCCUCCACAACCAUUUUGAAAAACCCUGAACACCACCUGAGGUGGUUAAUCUUUCAGGGUUUUUCUUGGAGAGGCUGAGGAGCCCUGAGUUACAAGUGCUUUUUGACAUUGGGGUUGGCAACGCAAAAGACAAGACAUGAUUCCUGUUAACAGCCUUCUACAGCUUUACCAGAGGAGGUCCAUCACAAGGCAACCAUCACCUUUUCUCCAAUGCUUAAAAUAAUUACAAUGCCUGAAGCAUUCUUGUAUCCCCACUCCACAGAAAAUCUUUGCUAACAGUUAAAGCUAAAUAAAGACAGAGAGCAGUGCUUGCUGCAUUUACCUCAUACCACAACUUCUUGGCCACUUGCUUGCAAGCACAGCUGCACAGUGAUACUUCUCAUCAACUUUGUUUUGCUGUGUCCUUGCAUGGUCCAGUUCCCUGCUGCUGGUUCCAGAGCCUUGACCCAGCAGAAGAUUUUAAUUUCACUACAGACAUCCACACUGAACCUAGGAGGUUUCUAGAGUGUGUGGAAGAUAACUUCCUGAAACAGCUAGUGAGUGAGCCAGCUAGGGACGGUGUCCCACUGAACCUUUUGCUUGUACGUAGAGAAGGACUUGUGUAUGAUAUGAAGGUUAGAAGCCAUCUCAGGCACAGCAAUCACAAAUUAAAAGAAUUUUCAAUUCUUGAAAGAGUAAGGAGGAGGUUUAGCAGAAGAUCCACUCUGGACUUCCAGAGGGCAGACUUCGGUCUGUUAAGGAGAAUGGCUGGUGGAGUCCCUCAGGAGGUAGUCCUGAAAGGCUGGAUGCUCCUUAAGAGGGAAAUCCUGAAGGCACAGGAGCAGGCUGUCCCCAUGUGCUGAAAGAUGAACCAGUGUGGAAGAAGACCAGCCUGGCUGAACAGAGAGCUGUGGCUGGAGCCCAGAAAGAAAAAGAGGGUUUACAACUUUUGGAAGAAGGGGCAGUACACUCAGGAGAACUACAGAGAUGUCAUGAGGCUGUGCAGCGUCAAAAUUAGUAGGACUAAUGCCUAACUUGAGCUCAAUCUGGCUACUGCUGUUAAAUACAAUAGAAAAUACUUUUAUAAAUACAUAAACAAGAAGAGGACUAAGGAGAAUCUCCAUCCUUUGUUGGAUGUGGGGGGAAACAGUGACGA